ACAUUUUACCAAAGCCCUUUGAAAACACAUGAGUUGCUACUUCAUAAUAACAAUUCAAGUCCAAGAGUAGUUUUCUAAAUGUCUCUUUGUUCUUCAAUUGAAUCAUUGCUGUCUUGCACCAUUUCUUUUUUCUACAAUUUUUCACCAAUAUAUAAGCUUUAUCUAAUGUGAUCAACAACUCCCUCAAUAAAUCCCCAUACUUCAAUCCAUCAUUGCUACAAAUCAUCAAGUAGUCAUACACCUUAAC
rnacentral:lncRNA from 1 species